UUCCAGCUCCAAUAGCGUAUAUUAAAGUUGUUGCAGUUAAAAAGCUCGUAGUUGGAUUUCUGGCAGGAGUGACCGACCACAAACUCUGUUUGUGAGUUGUGUCAUUCUGGCCAUCCUUGGUAAGAUCCUUUUUGGCAUUAAGUUGUCGGGAAGGGGAUGACCAUCGUUUACUGUGAAAAAAUUAGAGUGUUUAAAGCAGGCUUAUGCCGUUGAAUAUAUUAGCAUGGAAUAAUAAGAUAGGACUUUGAGUCUAUUUUGUUGGUUUGCGAGUCAAAGUAAUGAUUAAUAGGGACAGUUGGGGGUAUUCGUAUUUCAUUGUCAGAGGUGAAAUUCUUGGAUUUCUGAAAGACGAACUACUGCGAAAGCAUUUACCAAGGAUGUUUUCAUCG
rnacentral:rRNA from 1 species